rnacentral:rRNA from 1 species
CGGAGAGGGCGCAUGAGAAACGGCUACCACUUCUAAGGAAGGCAGCAGGCGCGCAAAUUACCCAAUCCUGACUCAGGGAGGUAGUGACAAGAAAUAACAAUAAACCGGCUUAUGCCGGUUUAAUUGGAAUGAGUACAAUUUAAACAUCUUAACGAGGAACAAUUGGAGGGCAAGUCUGGUGCCAGCAGCCGCGGUAAUUCCAGCUCCAAUAGCGUAUACUAAAGUUGUUGCAGUUAAAAAGCUCGUAGUUGGAUUUCUGCGGGGACGGAGCGGCCGGACGCAACUUGCGUCUCGAGCUAGCGCUUUCCCCGCAUCCUGCCGCGAACCGUGCUACCAUUAGUUUGGUGGCGCUGGGGAUCGGCUCGAUUACUUUGAGAAAAAUAGAGUGUUCAAAGCAGGCCACACGCCUUGAAUAAGUUAGCACGGAAUAAUGACUAAGGACUUUGGUUCUUUUCGUUGGUGUUCGGGACUGAAGUAAUGAUUGAUAGGGACAGUUGGGGCGGUCCGUAUUCCAAAGCGAGAGGUGAAAUUCUUAGACCUUCGGAAAACGAACAGCUGCGAAAGCGUUCCGCAAGGAUGUUCCCUUUGAUCAAGAACGAAAGUUGGGGGAUCGAAGACGAUCAGAUACCGUCGUAGUCUCAACUAUAAACUAUACCAGCUAGGGAUCGGCCAACGUUUAAUUAUUCGACUUGGUCGGCACCUUAUGAGAAAUCAAAGCAUCUGGGUUCCGGGGGGAGUAUGGUCGCAAGGCUGAAACUUAAAGGAAUUGACGGAAGGGCACCACCAGCCGUGGAGCCUGUGGCUUAAUUUGACUCAACACGGGAAAACUUACCAGGUCCAGACAUAGGAAGGAUUGACAGAUUGAUAGCUCUUUCUUGAUUCCGUGGGUGGUGGUGCAUGGCCGUUUUUAGUCGGUGAAGUGAUUUGUCUGCUUAAUUGCGUUAACGGACGAGACCCCAGCCUGCUAAAUAGCGCGGCCGAGCUUUGCUCGGUGCGAGCUUCUUAGAGGGACCAUGAUGCGCGAUAGCACAAGGAAGUUUGGGGCAACAACAGGUCUGUGAUGCCCUUAGAUGUUCUGGGCCGCACACGGGCUAUACUGGCGCCUGCAACGAGCAUAUCAGCUGGCCCGAGAGGGUCUUGGCUAAUCUUUGGAACCGGCGCCGUGCUUGGGAUUGACCAUCGCAAUUGUUGGUCAUGCAACGAGGAAUGCCUUGUAAACGCGAGUCAUCAGCUCGCAUUGAAUACGUCCUGCCCUUUGUACACACCGCCCGUCGCUCCUACCGAUGAAUGUUCCGAUGAAAUUUUCGGAGAGCGCCAGAGAAUGGGGCUCUGUCUUGCAGAUCUGGAGGCUCAAAGUCACUUAAAUCUGAACAUUUCGAGGAAGGAGAAGUUUAACGAGGUAACC